UGUUGUUGCAGUUUUAGUUCACAUUUUCUGCAAUUCUACACAUUUUGCUAAGGGGUGUCGCCCGCUCCAGGUGUCGCCCAUCUUCCCCAUUAUCCCCUGUGUAUUUGUACCUGUGUUCUCUGUUUGUCAUUGCCAGUUUUUUUUGUUUCGUCAAGCCUACCAGUGUUUUUCCCUCUGCUCCUGUCUCUCGAUUGUUCCUGUUUCCUAGUUUUCCCAGUGUUGACCAUUCUGCCUGCCCUGACCCUGAGCCUGCCUGCCGUCCUGUACCUUUGCCCCACCUUUCUGGAUUACUGACCUUUGCCUGCCCUGACCCUGAGCCUACCUGCCGUGCUGUACCUUUGCCCCACCUAUCUGGAUUACCGACCUCUGCUUGUCCUUGACCUGCUUUUUACCUGCCCCUGUUUGAUUAAUAAACUGUUGCUACUUCAACGUUGUCUGCAUCUGGGUCAUACCUGAAAGGGGAUACAUACAGUUCCAGUCAAAAGUUUGGACACACUGUCACGUCCUGACCUGAGAGAGACAUUUUAUUUCCUCUAUUUUGGUUAGGUCAGGGUGUGAUGUGGGGUGGGCAUUCAAUGUGAUGUAUUUCUUUGUGUUUGGCUGAGUAUGGUUCCUAAUCAGAGGCAGCUGUCUAUCAUUGUCUCUGAUUAGGAAUCUUACUUAGGCAGCCUUUUCCCCACCUGUAGUUGUGGGUAAUUAUUAUUUCUGUGAGUGUUUUGUGUGCACCACAGUUGCGUCACGUUUCUUUCUGUUUACCUGUUUAUUGUUUUG
rnacentral:lncRNA from 1 species